CCUACGGGAGGCAGCAGUGAGGAAUAUUGGUCAAUGGGCGCGAGCCUGAACCAGCCAAGCCGCGUGAGGGAUGAAGGUACAGAGUAUCGUAAACCUCUUUUGUCAGGGAACAAAGGCGGGGACGCGUCCCCGGAUGAGUGUACCUGAAGAAAAAGCAUCGGCUAACUCCGUGCCAGCAGCCGCGGUAAUACGGAGGAUGCGAGCGUUAUCCGGAUUUAUUGGGUUUAAAGGGUGCGCAGGCGGUCUGUUAAGUCAGCGGUCAAAGCCCGGGGCUCACCCCCGGCCCGCCGUUGAAACUGGCAGUCUCGAGUUGGAGAGAAGUAUGCGGAAUGCGCGGUGUAGCGGUGAAAUGCAUAGAUAUCGCGCAGAACUCCGAUUGCGAAGGCAGCAUGCCGGCUCCACACUGACGCUGAGGCACGAAAGCGUGGGUAUCGAACAGGAUUAGAUACUCUUGUAGUC
rnacentral:rRNA from 1 species